UUUAUUUUUAAUCGCAUCUUUGCGUGAAAUAAUAUUUUCGUACGCGCGAUUGCUCUCUGGGCACAGAGGAGGACCCUAAAAGGGUUGGAUCCGCAAAAAUAACACGAAAGUCCUUUGUGCAAAAAGGCUGAAAGGCGGGCGGCGACCUUCAGCCGUUGACAAGCUGACAAAACUCGCUCGUGGGCGACUCGUUUUAUUUCAUUCCAGGUCAAUCGGUGCUGCAACCCAGAAGUCGCGCUGUUGCUGCUCGAAAAAUGCGCAAAUUGAGAAGAAGAAAAACGAUGUCUUCCUAUAUCGGCGACAUCGACCCAACUGACAUGGGACGAAAAUUACAUUUCUCUCUGUGUCUCCAGAGAAAAUGGAGUGAAAUUUUUCCGAGCCGAUAUUCUGUUGGGAAGAUAAGGACGGAUCGCCAAUAAACCAGAGUGUUCUUCUCUCGGCUCAACCCUUUUUUUGCUGAGAGAGUAAAAUUUCCAAUAGGGGAAGUGCGCAGCCCUGGCGCUAGAGCGUUGGUGGCUGUCUUUCGAACUUUUUGCACUUUGUCAGAAAUGCGGAUCCCGGUGACUAAAACGAGUAUAGCUAACUGAAUACGUCAUGGAUACCUUAGGGGCAGUAACUGGUGGUGGCCGAUGAAACCUGUGAGAGUUUACAGUUGUUGCAUCGCACCGCGGUGGAGCGUGGGGAUGUCGAAAAGCAGCCAAAUGUUGGGCAGAUCGGCUUCUGCCGGAGUGCCUCGCAGGCGCAUGCGUCAGCGACUUACGGCGUUGGCCGAAAGUGUGGUUUUGCUACUGGUGCUAGCUUCACUGAACUGAACCAGCUGGCUGAAGAAAAUGAAAACAGCGACCGGCGACGCGACCGCUCAUUUUUAGAGUGUGACUCAACUUUCCCGUCAUUUUUCACGAGCCUCCGCACGAGAGCGAUUUAAUUGUGUGACGACUGUGCACAUGAGUGUUGGACCAGAAGUUAUGUUCCUGCCAGCAAAGAGUAUCGGACAUAAGAGAAGGCUGCUGCAAUGCACUCGUCCUUGAUCUUACUAACUGUCGGCUGACUGCAGUGGAUGGGCGCCCCAGUGGUUUUUGCAAUUGAUUUGCCAAAAAUUGAAUUUCUCGGAUGAAAGAAAGUCGGAAAGAGCACUCGUCCCAAAAUUUCGAGCCGCUCCGUGCCAGGCGGCGCUCCACUCAUCCUCGGCAAGUCGACUGUGUCUCACAUUGGGUAAUUAACUAACUCACUCCCUGCCUCACCCCUUCCAACUCUGCUCCCCAACCGCCGUGCCAAGCAUUAUUAAACUAAUCAAAAUUUCUUUGACCAAAAAUCCCUUGAUGCUCCCAUCGUAUUUUACCACUGCUUUCAAUUUUGGCACGUAAAGUCGGUGUUUCUUUUUUUUAACUGUGAAUUUCUUUUUCCAGGCUGACUGCAGUGGAUGGGCGCCCCAGUGGUUUUUGCAAUUGAUUUGCCAAAAAUUGAAUUUCUCGGAUGAAAGAAAGUCGGAAAGAGCACUCGUCCCAAAAUUUCGAGCCGCUCUGUGCCAGGCGGCGCUCCACUCAUCCUCGGCAAGUCGACUGUGUCUCACAUUGGGUAAUUAAC